AGAGCUUCUUUCUCCUUCUUUUCUCUGGUUCGAUAUUUCUUUCUAUACAUUUAUUUGCUUUUUUUUUCUGUUGUUUUUUUUUUGUUGGUUAGGAUGAUUGAAGAUUUGAGGUGGUGGUGAAAUGUGGUGGUUAUGGUGGAUGGCUCUAUGAAAGAGGCAGCUCAGUUUCAAUUUUUGGGUUCUCAAUUUUAGAGAAUACCACAAGCUGUUAGGAAUUUGGGUUUGUCAAUAUGAAGCCAACUUUGGGUCAAGCUCAAAGUAAUUGGGAAGCUGAUAAAAUGCUUGAUGUUUAUAUUCAUGAUUAUUUUCUGAAAAGAAAGUUGAACGCCAGUAGGUAAGAAACUAAGAAACAAAAGUUUCGACGGAUCCAGUAGGCAAGAGGCAGGCUGAGGAAGAAGUACAGGCAGUGAGUGCAAAAAAGCAAAAGCUAGAAGAGGUUCAUCAAAAGAAGGAAGCUGAGUUGAAGAAAUUUAAGAAUGAUGAAAGUAGUUAUGAGGAAGAGAUUGUAGGAUAUGAUAGAAGACUAUCAAUUUGGUUUGGGGCCUUAGAUCUAUAUGCGACAUGAUUGCCUAAAGAGGGACUUGGAGCUUGAAGUUAUCAACCAAAUUAAUGGAAAAAAGGAGCUGUGAUUAUUUUUGAAUUAUUGUUUAGAGGAAGAGAGAAAUAAUGUACUUUUGCAUCCUUAUUGUGCAUUGAAACUUUUUUUUUCCCUUCAUAUUGUAAUGAUAAUGAUAAUUUAUGUGGUUGUUUUUGUAAAUUGAAUUUGGAUAUAAUGAGAUUGACCUAGAAAAGUCUCCUAUAUUGAAGAAUACAGGAAGGAUGAAUUCUAUUUUGG